UUAAUUGAAGAGUUUGAUCAUGGCUCAGAUUGAACGCUGGCGGCAGGCCUAACACAUGCAAGUCGGGCGGUAACAGGGAGAAGCUUGCUUCUCCGCUGACGAGCGGCGGACGGGUGAGUAAUGUAUGGGGAUCUGCCUGAUGGCGGGGGAUAACUACUGGAAACGGUAGCUAAUACCGCAUAAUGUCUACGGACCAAAGCGGGGGACCUCCGGGCCUCGCGCCAUCAGAUGAACCCAUAUGGGAUUAGCUAGUAGGUAAGGUAACGGCUUACCUAGGCGACGAUCCCUAGCUGGUCUGAGAGGAUGAUCAGCCACA
rnacentral:rRNA from 1 species